rnacentral:misc_RNA from 1 species
GAUGAAGAACGUAGUGAAAUGCGAUAAGUAAUGUGAAUUGCAGAAUUCAGUGAAUCAUCGAGUCUUUGAACGCACAUUGCGCCCCCUGGUAUUCCGGGGGGCAUGCCUGUCCGAGCGUCAUUGCUGCCCUCAAGCACGGCUUGUGUGUUGGGCCUCCGUCCUCCUCCCGGGGGACGGGCCCGAAAGGCAGCGGCGGCACCGCGUCCGGUCCUCGAGCGUAUGGGGCUUUGUCACCCGCUCUGCAGGCCCGGCCGGCGCUGGCCGACGCGAAAGCAACCAUUUUUUCUCCAGGUUGACCUCGGAUCAGGUAGGGAUACCCGCUGAACUUAAGCAUAUCAAUAAGCGGAGGA